GACGAACGCUGGCGGCGUGCCUAAUACAUGCAAGUAGAACGCUGAAGGAGGAGCUUGCUUCUCUGGAUGAGUUGCGAACGGGUGAGUAACGCGUAGGUAACCUGCCUGGUAGCGGGGGAUAACUAUUGGAAACGAUAGCUAAUACCGCAUAAGAGUAGAUGUCGCAUGACAUUUGCUUAAAAGGUGCAAUUGCAUCACUACCAGAUGGACCUGCGUUGUAUUAGCUAGUUGGUGAGGUAACGGCUCACCAAGGCAACGAUACAUAGCCGACCUGAGAGGGGGAUCGGCCACACUGGGACUGAGACACGGCCCAGACUCCUACGGGAGGCAGCAGUAGGGAAUCUUCGGCAAUGGACGGAAGUCUGACCGAGCAACGCCGCGUGAGGGGAGAAGGGUUUCGGAUCGUAAAGCUCUGUUGUAAGAGAAGAACGAGUGUGAGAGUGGAAAGUUCACACUGUGACGGUAUCUUACCAGAAAGGGACGGCUAACUACGUG
rnacentral:rRNA from 1 species